rnacentral:rRNA from 1 species
AUUGAACGCUGGCGGCAGGCCUAACACAUGCAAGUCGAGCGGAGCGGCGGACGGGCGAGUAAUGCCUAGGAAUCUGCCUGGUAGUGGGGGAUAACGUCCGGAAACGGGCGCUAAUACAUCAUACUAUCAGAUGAGCCUAGGUCGGAUUAGCUAGUUGGUGGGGUAAAGGCCUACCAAGGCGACGAUCCGUAACUGGUCUGAGAGGAUGAUCAGUCACACUGGAACUGAGACACGGUCCAGACUCCUACUGUAGGCAGCAGUGGGGAAUAUUGGACAAUUGGCGAAAGCCUGCUCCGGCCAUGCCGGUUGUGUGAAGAAGGUCUUCGGAUUUUAAAGCACUGUAAGUUGGGGGUCGUUACCAACAGAAUGAGCACCGGCUAACUUCGGGCCAGCAGCCGCGGUAAUAC